ACAGUGUUGUGCUCUGAGAUACGAUCGUGAAUAGGGCUGGCCAGCUCCCCAUCCCAGCCUCACCCAGGAGCUUUCAGAAGGCUGAGGUGCUCUCAGGUCUGCACCCCCUCCAGCCUGGGGUGUCAGCAAUCCUGGAGAAGGGACACCUAAGCUGAAACCUCAAGGUUUCGCAUCUGCACAAGGCUGGCCUCCUGCAGGCAACCCUUCAAGGCUGCCCUUUCCUGGGUCAUCGUAUGUUCAGCGUGAGAGAUGCCAUUCCAAAGGUUCAGAGCCGUGUGGCCUGUGGACUUGGGGGUGGGGGACACACCCCCUCCUUCCCUCAACCUCCCUCCCACCGCCUGCUGCCAAGGGCCGCCAAGAGAAAUGUGGGCAAACCACACGGACCACCCCAGGCCUCCCAAGGGCACUUGGGGGUGAUGCCAGCCCCAGGAAGGAGUCCUCAAUAAAGAUCCAAGGUGCUAACAAGAAGAUGUCAAUCCAUUAACUCCACUUGAAGGGAAGAAAAAAAAUGUCAAUUACUGGUAAUGUGAAACAAAAGAGUGGGAAAUCGCAAAUGACAGUCUUUUUAAGACGGCCCUAGGGCCACUUCCAGCUGACCCUGUGCAUUAACCAAGCAGGGAGAUUUUUU
rnacentral:lncRNA from 1 species